UGCAGUCGAACGGCAGCACAGUAGAGCUUGCUCUAUGGGUGGCGAGUGGCGGACGGGUGAGUAAUGCAUCGGGACCUACCUAGACGUGGGGGAUAACGUAGGGAAACUUACGCUAAUACCGCAUACGUCCUACGGGAGAAAGCAGGGGACCUUCGGGCCUUGCGCGGUUAGACGGACCGAUGUUCGAUUAGCUUGUUGGUGGGGUAAUGGCCUACCAAGGCGACGAUCGAUAGCUGGUCUGAGAGGAUGAUCAGCCACACUGGGACUGAGACACGGCCCAGACUCCUACGGGAGGCAGCAGUGGGGAAUAUUGGACAAUGGGCGCAAGCCUGAUCCAGCAAUGCCGCGUGUGUGAAGAAGGCCUUCGGGUUGUAAAGCACUUUUAUCAGGAACGAAAUCCUACUGGUUAAUACCCGGUGGGUCUGACGGUACCUGAGGAAUAAGCACCGGCUAACUUCGUGCCAGCAGCCGCGGUAAUACGAAGGGUGCAAGCGUUAAUCGGAAUUACUGGGCGUAAAGCGUGCGUAGGCGGUUUGUUAAGUCUGCUGUGAAAUCCCCGGGCUCAACCUGGGAAUGGCAGUGGAUACUGGCAAGCUAGAGUGUGUCAGAGGAUGGUGGAAUUCCCGGUGUAGCGGUGAAAUGCGUAGAGAUCGGGAGGAACAUCAGUGGCGAAGGCGG
rnacentral:rRNA from 1 species